rnacentral:lncRNA from 1 species
GACAGAGCGGAGAAAGCGACUUCGGUGAAUGAAGGAGGGAAGAAAGGAGAGACAGAGAAAAUAUGGAUUUCCUCAUGGUUGUGAUUCCUCUUCACUCUUUUGAAUUUGGAAGGAUGGCAUACACAUCUGAAAAAUACCACUACUUCCUUCAUUGGACUGCAAGGUAUUUCUGUUUGGAAAAGUAAUGGAGUCCAGUCAACUUCAUUGAUCGCCAAGGACUGUCAAAAUUAUAAAACUUGCUGUGGAGCUCUGACAUGCCAGAAGCCGCUAGAAAAAGAAGUUUGACAUUCAGAAACUUAUCAAGAGGUUCUACUCUUUGGAUAGAGACCAAAAUCAUACUUUGAAACUGGAUUACAUGACAUCAUAAGUGUGUUCUGCAAAGAAACUUCAACUGUAGAUCAAAUAUGCCUAUAAUACAAAGUUCUUCAUUACAGGAAACAACUGAAUACCUUGCUGUCUUUUGAACUAUAUUUUCCCCUGUAGCUUUUGUGUCUAUUAGAAAUCAAGUAAAUAGAUCCAACUUAGAAAUAAUGUUUCAUUCAAGAUAAGGCUCGUGGCUUAGGAGAUUGUGACCUGGCUUGCAUCAUUCUAAGACUUCUAUCGUCUGUUUUCAAAACCCAAGGAGGACCUCCUUUUCUGUGUGAUAGUUCCUCAUGCUUUGCCAGCCACUGGGUCUUUAAGGAAGCUUGCCAAGAGUUCCCGGCUGGGAAGGACAGUUCGAGUUCAUCAUAGACAAUGAGCUGGCACCACAGUUUAAGUGACUCACCAACCUGGUUGCCCACUUCAAAAUGUCAAGAACCACACUAUCUAAUUGAAAGAACUGUGUUUUAGCAAAGUGUAAUUGGAUCGCCUGGCAAGAUCAUCUCAAACUAUGUCUCUGACCUUGCCUUUCAGUGGCUAUUUUGAGCACAAGAGGAGAAAGGAAAUGAUUCCUGAAUUAUAUCUUGUUUUUAAAAAUUAAGAUUAAUUAAUACUUGGUUUUAUGUUCAUUCCAUUGUAGGAACUUAGUGAUUAUUACAAAACAGUCAAAAUAGGUCAUAGCAAAAUGAACGUUUAAGAUUAGGUUAAAACAUUCCUCUGAAAUUUUAGUAUUCACUUUUGAAGUGUCAAUUACUAUAUUUCUGUAAUUUCUCAUUUUUUUCUUGGCUUAGAGUCAAGAUGAAAAAUGAUAUUUGAAUCAAAGACAUUGUUUUGUUAUAUAGCCACUCCUUUCUAAAAUGCAAAUCCACCCUCCCCUCACCAAUGCUUUAUUCUUUGUGCGCGCACACACACACACACACACACACACACACACACACACACACAGACAUACACAGAACCAGCACCCAAAUGGUAGAGGAGGUCCUUCCAAGACUUCUAGGACCUGGAUCAUGUAAGCAGUAGAUGAGAAAAUGAAGUAAGAGAUAUAGAGUAAUAACAAUAAAAGUCAAUGAUUUCAUUUUACAAAAAAGUCAUUGUGUAGUACUCAGAUAUUUUUAAGAGCAAGUAUUAUUAUGACUAAAGUAUAUUAUACUUCUAAAUUAUUAUGAUUCUCAUCUAAUUUCAAGCCACACAUAGGCGCCAUUUGAAAGCAUUUUGUGUUACAACCUAUCAACAAAAAUCAACUAAUAGUUUUAUAACGUGCAUAGGUUUACCCCAUGGGGAAUUAAAAUUUUUAUCUGCAAGUAUUUCUGUUGUUGUGAGACUUUAGGACAAGACAACAUUUGGUGUUAACAUAGAAGAAUAUUCUAUGGCUUUUUUAGCUUUAAAGUUCAUUACUCUAAAAU